CGCGGAGUCGCUUCAGUCUACACCAGCCGGACCCCGGAGUUUCCCCUCGCCGAUGACUCGCUUCAUUACUGAACAAGUGGAACUGGUUUGAAUCAUCUCAUUGUUGAAGAAAGCCACAUUAUGAAUUGGAUUUUGAGCCUGAUCUGAGAUUUUCCACAAAUGCAACAGAAUUAACAUGUAAGUCCAGAACUUAAAGAUAAAUAAGUAUCACUUCUUUCCAUGACUAUCAGAAUGGAAUACAGCCAUUAUUCAAAAGUCCUCUUCUGGAGAUUCUUUCAGAGCCUGCACUCAUUUAGAGAUAAAUUUUCAUCUUUCAAAGGUAGGUUUAUAUUGGGGAUACACUUCCAAGUUCUUUGGCGCCAAAUCCAGUAGUAGUAGGGUGGGUUCUCAAAUUGGAGGCCAUUUUUCUUCAAUACCCUUCCACAAAAGAAGUGAGAAAACAUUGUCUGGUAUGGCUCAAAUUAGCUCUGCAGGCCAUUCCUGAUGUGUGCCAGAAUAUUUAUCUCCCAGCUCUGGCAUUUUCACCGGUUGUUCUUCAUGCUUGGAAUUCUCUCUUUCCUCGUGUCUAUCUCCUGGCUUUCCGGGUCUCCUUCAAAUUCCAGAUAAACUCUCCCUUUUCUGCAGAAAGCUUUUCUCAAUCUCCUUUAAUUCUAGAGCCUCCUCUCUGUUUCUUAUCUCCAAUGCAUCCUGUAUAUAGUAUGUCUGUAUGAGGCUGUUUGCAUGUUAUCUCUCCCAUUAGAUGACAGACUGUCUUUUUCCUGUCCUUUCUUUGUGUUCCCAGUGCUUAGCACAAUGCUUUGUGCUUAGACACACAGUAGGUGUUUAAUCAGUGUUUACCUACUGUCUUCUCCUAAUCAAUAUACCUUCUCUCCAAUCUCAUCAAUGUUUUUUAUUUCAUUUCUUCCCAGCCCCUCUCAGCUCCAUCUAGUUGACUCCUGCUUAUCUUCUGCCCUAUCAACUUCUCCUCUGACUCAGCUGCUACCCCCUAAAGCAGUGGUUUCUAUUCCCUGGGGAAGGAUUGUACCAUAGGCCAAGGGGUUCAUGCUAAAAAUUCUUUAACAGCACUUGAAUAGGAAAAAUUGUCCAGUUAUGUGAAGUUUUAUAGAUUUGUAUCCGCAGUGAUUAAAAUCAUCCUAGUCAUUCCCAUGCAAAAUGAUUUUUGGUGUUUAUGCAGUGAUUACAUCAAACUCUAACCACUACAAAGUAUGUUAUUGGAGCUUCUUAACUUGUCACCAAAUUAUUUUCAAACUGCCACAAGGGGUUGACUUUUAAGGGCAAAAUCUGGUUAGGUACAUGUCCAUAUUCUCAUUUGGAUUCUAUAUACUGCAUCAGAGCAGAUUCCUGUUUUCCAGCUAUUCUGUAACCAUGACUCAUCAACUGUGUAAUCAGGUAAUAAAGAUGUCAAUAAACAUUUGCAUUUUAGCUGCUUAAAUGUCAGGUUUGAAUGUCUAAUAUUGGAAAACCAUGGUCCUUGGAUAUGUGCAUCGUAAGCCAUUUUGAAAACACAAACCAUUGCAAACUUUCUGCAGAAACAAAUCAUACAUUAUUUCUCAUGGCAAUAUUAAUGGUGUUUUCUGAUUUAAAUCUAUCUUCUGCUUGUGUUACUUUCUUUUCUGUUUUGGAGAUUUUCAAAUGAACUGAUUCACAACAUGGAUCAGCAGAGAUCCUGUGAAAAUGUACCCAGUGGGAAAAGAGAAGAAAUUCACACCUGAUCAAGGCAAUUCUAGUAGACUUGUGAUGGAAAGAGCCAUCUACAUCCAGAGAGAGAACUAUGGAGACUGAGGGGAUCAGAGCCAUAGUAUUUUCCCCUUUUGUUGUUGUUUUUUUGUUUGUUUUUUCUUUUCCUUUUGAUCUGGUUUUUCUUGUGCAGCAUGAUGAAUAUGGAACUAUGUUGAGAAGAAUUAUACAUAUUUAACCUAUAUCAGAUUGAUUCUUGUGUAGGGGAGGGAAAGAAGGAAGGGAGGGAGAAAAAUUUGGAACAC
ensembl:lncRNA